GGAUUGAACCUCUGAACCUGGUAGCAUUUUCUGCUUCUCUGGAUAUGUGAUAAAGCCUCUGUAAUCAGAUACAGCUCUUCCUUCUGCUCCAGAGUUAAGCCAGUCAAACUCAUUCCUACGAUGGCCAGAAAACCGAUCUCCAAACAGAGUUGGUACAGCUUCUGAGGAAUGAAAGGUUUCAUGGAAAGAGGUGAAAGGGUUGCAUAGGAGAAGAGCCUUAAAAGCAUAAAGCUACGUGGAAUAAAGUAAAAGAUUCACGAGAAAACUGGUCAGUUGGAUUCAGAGUCCAAAUGUCAAAGAAGAGAUCUUGCACCAGAGAGGCAUCCAUGAAUGUCACAAAGCUUGUGGAAACUGCUGGAGAAGUCUAUCAGGCUAUGUGAAAUGUUUCUAAUCCCAAUAUUUAAAUAUUGCUCUGGGUCCGGCCAACAUUGUGGGUGUGAUGGUUUGUAUAU
rnacentral:sRNA from 1 species